rnacentral:rRNA from 1 species
AUUGAACGCUGGCGGCAGGCCUAACACAUGCAAGUCGAGCGGAUGAAGGGGGCUUGCUCCUGGACUCAGCGGCGGACGGGGGAGUAAUGCCUAGGAAUUUGCCUGGUAGUGGGGGAUAACGUCCGGAAACGGGCGCUAAUACCGCAUACGUCCUGAGGUAGCAAGUGGGUGAUCUUCGGACCGCACGCUAUCAGAUGAGCCUAGGUCGGAUUAGCUAGUUGGUGGGGUAAAGGCCUAGCAAGGCGACGAUGCGUAACUGGUCUGAGAGGAUGGUCAGUCACACUGGAACUGAGACUCGGUCCCGACUCUUACGGGAGGACGCAGUGGGGAAUCUUGGAGAAUGGGGGAAAGCCUGAUACAGCCAUGCCGCGUGUGUGAAGAAGGUCUUCGGAUUGUAAAGCAAUUUAAGUUGGGAGGAAGGGCAGUAAGUUAAUACCUUGCUGUUUUGACGUUACCAACAGAAUAAGCACCGGCUAACUUCGUG